rnacentral:rRNA from 1 species
UAAUUAGGUUUGGUUUAAUAGAAAAAUCACUAUAAAUUUUUUAUGAUUUAUCUAAAAAAACAAAAACAGAAAAUAAAUUUUAUUUAAUAAUUAAAAGUUAUUGAAAUUUAUAGCUAAAUUUAGCUAAUU